CGAGAGCAAACUGGCCCGCAGAGGCAGGGGAGGGCGGGGUCCCCACUCCGCAGAGGGGCCUGCCUUCCUCUGUGCACCUGCCUGUCCCCCUGCAAGGUGAGGAACUGCCCAGCAGAAGCACAGCCCAGAUGACGAGGCUGGAUGGAGGCUGCAGUCACGGAUGCUGGAGGUGAGCGAGCCAUCACAGGGGCUGGAAGCCCGAGUCUGUGGCACCCAUUUUCCAGGUGGACAGAUCCAAGGAAAAUGCCAGUGCCCAGGCCCCAGGGCGAGGACAAGCUUCAGAGGGCACCCUGCACCGGCCCUAGGCCGCUCCCAGAGGAACAGCAGGUCAGUCGGUGCUGGGUAACUCACUCCUUUACGUGGACAGUUUUCUUCAAGGGACAACAGGUGUACGUGUGUGCAUGUGCAUGCACGUGCCUGUGUGUGUGCAUGGGGAACAGGGGCCCAGGGGUCUCCCCACGGUGCGGUUCAAAGCCUCUGGCUGGAGGAAGCCCAGAGAAGGACUCUGAGAACCUGUCAGUGCUUCUCUUGUACCUCCAGGGCCCUGGGGCUCUGCUGGACAGGCCGGCGGGCAGUGACGGCCGAGAAAGGCAGCAGUGGGUGGGGGGGAUGUCCACUGCUCCCAGUCUCCCCUGAAAGGGGUCGAGAGGGAGGAAAGCAGCAGGCCGGAACAGCUGGAUCACAUAAGAGCAGCUUCCAAGUGAUAAAAAGCUUUCAGAUGAACAAGACCCAGUAAAAGGGAAAACGGACUCAGGAGGACAGGUCACCAAAGCCACACAGAAGAGUUGGCUGCACAGAGCAGGUCCGUGGCUUAGCGGGUGCUCUGGGAGGGGCCUGGCAGUGCCCCGGGGCUCUGGGUGGAGGAGAUGGGAUGUCCAGGGCUGGAGGCAGAAAGAUCCCACUAUUCUUUUCCAUUUCUUUGCCCUUACCCCUUGCCGAAGCCACAUCAGCCUCCUUCCUGCUCCUCUGGUACCCCGCCAGCUCCUGGCAGGGCCUUUGCACAUAUAGGGGCCAGAACAUUCCUCCAGGGCUUCACUAGCACUCCCUCUUCAGCAUCACCUUCCCUGACCACCUGAUCCGGAGGCCAGACGUGGUCCGUCCCUGCUGCAUACUCUGCACUGCCUAUCCGGGUCCCAUUAGACAUCUGGCUCCAUGGGCAGGGACCCGGGCCCACAGCACAUCCCCGUCCAGGUCUGGCAGGCACGGUGGUUCCCUGCACAGCAUCCUUCCACCUCAAGGCCACUGAAGACUCACAAAGCCCGAAAUAGACUGGAGGGGAAAGAGCCAUUUACAGACAACUUCCAUCAGAUUCCAUGUUUCCAAAACAUUCUAUUACCUGACACAGAACUGGCCCUGAGCUAACAUUCAAGCCCAUCUUCCUCUGCUUUAUAUGUGGGAUGCCUGCCACAGCAUGGCUUGACCAACAGUGCAUAAGUCCGCACCCGGGAACAGAACCGGUGAAUCCUAGGCCACCGAAGCAGAGCGCAUGAACUUAAUCGCUGUGCCACCAGGCCGGCUCCUCCAUUUCCUAACUUUUAUUUAUUGGUUAUGGAAGGCUAGAAUGGUUAAAGAG